rnacentral:rRNA from 1 species
GUCUACAGCCAUGCCACCCUGAACAAGCCCGAUCCCAUCUGACCUUGGAAGCUAAGCAGGAUAGGGCCUGGUUAGUACUUGGAUGGGAGACCACCUAGGAAGACCAGGUGCUAUAGGUG